CCGAGUUAUCCAACUCCCAACCCCUGUGAAUCAUACCUUUAAUUGUUGCUUCGGCGGGACUUCGCGCCCGCCGGGGACCCGAACCUUCUGAAUUUUUUAAUAAGUAUCUUCUGAGUGGUUAAAAAAUGAAUCA
rnacentral:misc_RNA from 1 species